AUUAAAAUUUUGCUUUGGACGGAAAGUAUAUGAUUACAAAGUGAUGAAAGUAUAAUCCAAGUUGUAAAUCAAGUUCCAUUUGUGUAGGAUCUCUUGGUGAGAUCCUUAGUGUUUUAGAAUGAAAGUAGGAGCUCAGUCUUGGGAGUCAUUGGGCAACUUACAGGAAGUAUAAUCCAAGUUGUAAAUCAAGUUCCAUUUGUGUAGGAUCUCUUGGUGAGAUCCUUAGUGUUUUAGAAUGAAAGUAGGAGCUCAGUCUUGGGAGUCAUUGGGCAACUUACAGGAAAUAUUGACUGUCCCCACACAUCACCAUGCCCCUACACAUCACCACGAGAUUUUCCAAUGUGAUUACUCCAAGC
rnacentral:sRNA from 1 species